CCGGGGGCGGGGAGAGGGGCGGGGCUUUCCGCCGAAAGGGGGCGGGGCGCGCGGAGGAGGCGGGGCGAGCGCAGGGGAGGCUGGCGAGCAGAGAGUGCCCUUGUGUCGCCAGCCGGCGAGCGGCUGGGAGCGAGCAGCCGCCCCGCGCCGCCAGCGGGACGGGACGGGACAGCACGGCACGGGACAGCACGGCGCGGGGCGGGACAGGCCGGGCCGCAGGGACAGCCGGACCGACCCGCCGGUAGGGGCGAGGGGAGCCAGCGGGGGCAGCCGGCACCGCUCGGUGGAGGGAAGCAGCCCGGCGGCGGCAGAGCCGGCGGGGAGAGCUGCUCCCCCCACUUCCCUCCCCAAUCCACCCCCGCGACCCCGGCCCUCCUCCUCCUCCUCCUCCUCACCCCACUGGAUACAGCGAGGGAGACACUGCGGCGGCGGAGGCGGCGGCGGCGGCUCCUGCGGGGGGAAGGAAGCGCCCGGAGAGCGGAGCGGCGGGAGGCUGCGGAUCUGCGUGCCUGGCGCCCACCCAGCCCGAGGGGAGCCCCCAGGAUGCGGCUCAAGCCCGGCGCGCUCCUGCGCUUCUACAGCCUCUGCGGGAUCCUCAUGCAAGUGUCCAAAGUGCUCUCAUUACCUGGAUUACAGAGUCAUAAAAUCACUACUCAGACCUGUUCAUUUUCCUUGGAAGCUGAAAAGAGAAAUGGGUCUGUGCUAUGUGUGCUAUGUUUUGUCAUCACCCAUAAAUCCGCAGGAGGAUAGAGUCAUAAAUUUCAUUUCACAGGUAGAUGGUGGAGUUUAUUUUUAUUUAAAGUAUUUUUAUAUAGCUUCAUGCCUAGAUGUCUCAUGCAUUUGCAUGACCUGA
rnacentral:lncRNA from 1 species